rnacentral:lncRNA from 1 species
CCAUCAGUUAGUUUGAUACUCCUAGAGGUGAAUCUCUUGGGCGAUUCUAAAAGUUGACAAUGGAAAGCAACUAUCGGACGUGGUUAUCUCAGCAUUGGAAGCAGAAUUUAUUGAUCUCAUUUGAGUGAAGGAUGGAUAGAGAGCCCAGAGGCACAGAAGCUGCUGGUACCAGAGUUGUUCUGACUCCAGAGCAAUGCUGUAAGUGCCACCAUCUACAGUUUCCCUUGGUAAAUUAAGGAAGGCUGGCUAACUUCUGGGGAAAUUACCAGAGCCCCUGCAAGCAAAUGGUGUGGCAGGGCCUCUGAAGGAUGGUGUGUUUUGUGGACAGCAGAGGAAUACCUUUUAUGAUAUUUUAUUAUCUUCACAUUCACCUUAGAUGGUACCGUGAGCAUCUGAGUUUUCAAUAAAAGUCUGUUGAGCACGCA